GGUUUAUUGGAGAGUUGACAGUUGAAGAUUAAAGAAGUUAUAAGAUGAAAGAUAAGCUGUUUAUGAAAUAAGAAAUCUAUAUGUCACUUUUAACAUAAUUUUAACCUUAUUUAUCGAAAAAUACCUUGUACGUUUGUUUGCUGUUGUAAAAUCAUACUGUAUGCUUCUGUUUGGUAUUCCAGUGAUGAGAUCGUCACAAUAAUUGCUGGAACAAUGAACUCGUUUGAGAUACACAUUUAUCAUGUAAAAUCACUACGUAACAAUUGAUAUUUUCAUUGCGCAUGACGUUUAUACAACGAGAUAUCUUUCCGAUGUAACUUAACGUGUAAUGUUUCCUGCUUUUUCGCACGUUGUAUAAUUGUUGACGAUCUUUCUCUCUUUUGAAUACCAGAGCCUUUGUGCAUAUUAUUAGUACUACUAUCUUUUACAUAUUUGCGUACCAGCUUGUUUUGUAUCCUUUAAAUUAUUUAACCGUGAAUAGUAUGAUUAGUGAUUCGAGUUAAGAUAUAAAUGCGUGCCUUAAAGGGCUACGAAAUCACAUAAACGUAUUUUGAUUGACGUUUAAGGCAGACAGAUACUUUGUUAACUCGAUAGAAAUACGAUAUAAGAAAAGUUCUUCAUACUGUAGAUUAUACAAUUUGUUUAUGUUACUCAGUUUACUUCCUUUUUUCUUUUCAAAUCUUAAGUUGUUAUACUCUAUAAGUACACGAAUCUCCCAAAUUUUCAUUUAAUCUCGAUGCCACUGGCGUCUCAAUGGAAAGGAGGAGAAGUUCAUCAGUUAAAUUAAUAUGUUUAAUAAAAUUACUUUUUCAUCGUCGUAUUACGCGCUUCUUAGUGUUCGGGACAUAACAAGAAAAUUCAAUUUGCAAUAAAGACGACGAGAAACCGAAACCCGGUUCGAGGUACUAGUUAAAAAUAAAGUUUUGUUGAAUUAUUUUCGACGCAAACGCUUUCAUUCAACGGAACCUCAAGUCGUGCAAUGAAUGCAAAUGAUUAUACUGCAUGUCCUGCGACACACAUACACACGCAAGAAAUACAAAGCUGUGAACGGGACUAGAAUAGAGAAAAGUAGAAAAAAAAAAGAAAUGUCAUUGAUUGUGAAAUAUCGCCUCUGUGAUAUUUUACAAUCAGCUGUUUAGCCGCGACUGAGACCCUUAUCGGUAACUAUUUAAGCGAUGUAAUAGCCUCAUGUAAAUAAUAAUUUCGUUAGAGCGAAAAUAACCAAACGGGUCGAGACGGAAGAUUUACAACGGAUGAAAACUAAAGAUAGUAUAGCACUGAGCACUCAAGCUAAAUGAAUAAUGUGAACAAUGUGAUAUAAAUGAUAAAUAAAAGAUUAAUUAGCACAGUAGCGUUUAAGGAGAAAAAAAUCAACUAUUAAAUCAUUUACAGUGUAGAUGCUGGUAACUAUCAUUUACUAAUAUCUUAAAAAAAAAGAGAAAGAAGGUCAAAAAUUGAAUUGUACAUAGAAAAUAUGAAGAAGAGAAAAAGAACGAAAAAGGGAUUGUAAGAUAGUGUAUAAAUAUUGAAUUUAUUGAAGAAAAAAGGGAAAAGGAGAGGAGGAAAGAAAAGAAAGAACGAAUAUAACGUGAUGGACUGUGCCGGAUGAAACGCUUGUCAUGUUGGUAGUAAAAAUCGCCGACACCGCGAGUAUCCUAUAAAUAACAGAAUCUACAAAUUGUAUUAGAACGGCAACGUAUUAGAAUGACGGAUUAAGUGUGCAUGAGACUGCAUGUUGAAAGUACGCAUGUGAGAAAAGUGUGUAGUAAAAACGUUAUUAUUGUUGUAGUCUAUAUCGAAUUUUGUUAUAUGCCUCGACUAACAUGCAAAAC